UUUCACCUCAACCAGGUGACUAAAUGAAAGUAAAACAAAUUUAAAACAAGUUUAAAUCUGUGCCUGGACCUUCAAGUGGCAGCACAGUGUGAUACUACACUAAUACUAAACCUACUGCUUUUCUACUGCAGUGUUUCCAAAAUGAGUUUCCAAGAGAAAAGGGAGAACGAAGUAACCGCUAUUGACUCAGGUAU